rnacentral:lncRNA from 1 species
AUGUCGGAUUUGACUAUAUAAUGGAUUGAGUCAUACUCAUUUUGGAGUGGAAUGGGAAUUGAAAUUCGAAUUCUGCAAAACAAACAAUAAUUAUAGGAACCGGUGAUUUCCAUUCUAAUUUCAGAGUUUAAAAUAAGUGAACCAAACUGACCGUCCCUUGAGCAAGUGGCAAAGGGCUUGGUGGUUGAUACCCGAGGUCCCAAAUUCGAAUCCUAGUUGGUUCACAUUUCCAGCUAAGUUUAUUUCUAAAUGAAAUAAACGAAAUGGGCAGCGUACUACCUAUCUUUCUCAAAAAAAAAAAAGAAAAAAAGGUGAACCAAAUAUUUCAUCCUCCCCCUCAACUACUAUACAGAACAACUGCUUAUAUCUAAAAACUUAAGCUAUCACAAAGUAAUAUGUUUUUAAUCAUUUGUAUUCAACAA